CCUACGGGAGGCUGCAGUGGGGAAUAUUGGACAAUGGGCGAAAGCCUGAUCCAGCCAUGCCGCGUGUGUGAAGAAGGCCUUCGGGUUGUAAAGCACUUUCAGUGGGGAAGAAAGCCUUGGGGCUAAUACCCUCGAGGAAGGACAUCACCCACAGAAGAAGCACCGGCUAACUCCGUGCCAGCAGCCGCGGUAAUACGGAGGGUGCGAGCGUUAAUCGGAAUUACUGGGCGUAAAGCGCGCGUAGGCGGUCUGAUAAGCCGGUUGUGAAAGCCCCGGGCUCAACCUGGGAACGGCAUCCGGAACUGGCAGGCUAGAGUGCAGGAGAGGAAGGUAGAAUUCCCGGUGUAGCGGUGAAAUGCGUAGAGAUCGGGAGGAAUACCAGUGGCGAAGGCGGCCUCCUGGACUGACACUGACGCUGAGGUGCGAAAGCGUGGGUAGCAAACAGGAUUAGAUACCCGUGUAGUC
rnacentral:rRNA from 1 species